CACUCUAGAGAGACUGCCAGGGAUAACCUGGAGGAAGGUGGGGAUGACGUCAAAUCAUCAUGCCCCUUAUGCUUAGGGCUACACACGUGCUACAAUGGGUAGUAAAGAGGGUUGCCAAGCCGUAAGGUGGAGCUAAUCCCUUAAAGCUACUCUCAGUUCGGAUUGUAGGCUGAAACUCGCCUACAUGAAGCUGGAGUUACUAGUAAUCGCAGAUCAGAAUGCUGCGGUGAAUGCGUUCCCGGGUCUUGUACACACCGCCCGUCACACCACGGGAGUUGGAGACGCCCGAAGCCGAUUAUCUAACCUUUUGGAAGAAGUCGUCGAAGGUGGAAUCAAUAACUGGGGUGAAGUCGUAACAAGGUAGCCGUAUCGGAAGGGGCGGCUGGAUCACCUCCUUUCUAAGGAGA
rnacentral:rRNA from 1 species